UAGGGAAUCUUCCACAAUGGGCGCAAGCCUGAUGGAGCAACACCGCGUGAGUGAAGAAGGGUUUCGGCUCGUAAAGCUCUGUUGUUAGAGAAGGACGUGCGUGAGAGCAACUGUUCACGCAGUGACGGUAUCUAACCAGAAAGUCACGGCUAACUACGUGCCAC
rnacentral:rRNA from 1 species